CAAUAGCGUAUAUUAAAGCUGUUGCGGUUAAAGAGCUCGCAGUUGGAUUUCUGCUGAGGACGACCGGUCCGCCUCCGGUGAGCAUCUGCUUCGGCCUUGGCAUCUUCUUGGGUAACGUAUCUGCACUUGACUGUGUGGUGCGGUACCCAGGACUUUACUUUGAGGAAAUUCGAGUGUUUCAAGCAGGCAUACGCCUUGAAUACAUUAGCAUGGAAUAAUAAGAUAGGAACUCGGUUCUAUUUUGUUGGUUCUAGAGCUGAGGUAAUGAUUAAUAGGGAUAGUUGGGGCGAUUCGUAUUUAACUGUCAGAGGUGAAAUUCUUGGAUUUGCUAAAGACGGACUACUGCGAAAGCAUUUGCCAAGGAUGUUUUCAUUGAUCAAGAACGAAAGUUAGGGGAUC
rnacentral:rRNA from 1 species